UAAUACGAAGGUGGCAAGCGUUGUUCGGAUUCACUGGGCGUACAGGGUGUGUAGGCGGUUUGGUAAGCCUUCUGUUAAAGCUUCGGGCCCAACCCGGAAAGCGCAGAGGGUACUGCCAGGCUAGAGGGCGGGAGAGGAGCGCGGAAUUCCCGGUGUAGCGGUGAAAUGCGUAGAGAUCGGGAGGAAGGCCGGUGGCGAAGGCGGCGCUCUGGAACGUACCUGACGCUGAGACACGAAAGCGUGGGGAGCAAACAGGAUUAGAUACCCUGGUAGUCCACGCCCUAAACUAUGGAUACUAAGUGUCGGCGGGUUACCGCCGGUGCCGCAGCUAACGCAUUAAGUAUCCCGCCUGGGAAGUACGGCCGCAAGGUUG
rnacentral:rRNA from 1 species